rnacentral:tRNA from 2 species
CAUUGAGAAGCUAAUAGCGCUAGCCUUUUAAGUUAGAGAUUGAGAGCACGCCUCUCCUCAAUGA